AGGCAACAAAGUGAAGUAGAAACAAGCCAUUAAUGCAAAUACAUUGAAAUUUUAUUCUAGCUCAUGAAACAUCCCACAAUAUUGUUAGCCGUAGAAAUGUUAAAUUCUCUAUUUAAGAUAGAGAAGAAGGUGGGGCCACAGAAUUUACAAUUAUACAAUGAUUAAAUAGUCGGUCAGCCCUAGCUUGAAUGACAGUUCUGUUCCCGGUGUGUUCAUAAGUAAAUGUGUUGUUCACGAAAACAUUAUGGCACCAUCUUCCCAAUGCCACAAGGGACCGACAACUAAAGUCAUCAAUUUUCUUCCCUUUGAAAAUGUAGUUGUAGACGUCGAAUGCAUACUUUAUGCUGAAAUGUUUUUUGCACUCAACACAGCCGGCGAGUCAUCUAGAUGCGCCAUUGUUGGAUGUGCACAAUUCACCAAAAGCAAAAUAACCACAAUUGGACACAUGUUUAGUCCGGCCAUAUUGGUGGAAAGAAUUAGUAGCUUUUGAUUUUCUUAGAAAAUGAUCGCUUAGAUGCAGUUGAACUUUGACGAAAGGUGUUCUACACUUAUAAGGGAUGAGGCAAAGCUGCGAGUUAUUUGUGAAAUGAAAAACGCAUUUUCAUUUAAAACUACUUUAACAACGUAUUUACUGAUGUGAGGUAUCAAAUAUGAGGGUUUCUAAUUUGGUAUUUAUUUUGGUACGAUAAACGCAACUUACAAGUUCCCAUAAAUUGUUUAAUUAAUCUCAACAAUCACAUAACUAUUUAUUAUUUCCCACAAAAAUUACUUGUUUGUAAAUUUGUACACUAACUAGUUUAUUACAAUAGAAUUGCAGAAAUCGUGAACUGAACUUGCAUGUCGUGUUAGUGACCAUCGUUACGUGAAAAAGAGACGGCAAGUAGGAAAAAGAAUGCGACUAGCCUUAAUUGUUCUGCAGUAAAUGGGACAAAUGUAUUUCUCUGCAUUAUUAUUCCUACUUUAUCAAAACGAAAAUGGGACAAAAGAGAUUAAAUUUGUUAAGAAGUGAAGAACUGUUGAAGUACAAUAGAUUAAGUAAAUGAGCACUCCUUUCUUGGUAAACUCAUUUUAGCACAAAUAUUAUAUCACACUCUAUUGCGCAUGGUACAGUACUCAUGCCCUACACGCCCGAAUAUAAUGUUAACGAGCUACUGUUGCAUAAAUGAUAAGUUUCAAAUCAUUCAACAAAUAUCCUAGUUUUGGUUAUUCAGACCAAAGACAAAAGGAUUUAAAAAAGAUACGGAGGUGUGCAUAACGAACACACUUUUACAAAGUGUAGCAUGUGCGUAACAACUUGAACCAAAAGGCCAAUAGGAGUCAAUCAAGAGUCUUUCGUACGCCUAUUUGAACGUCAUUUUGUAAGAAUUUUUUGCAAUAUGCCGUGCCGAAGUUUUCAUCUUUCUCAACUUGGACCCAGGAAACGAUGAAGAAGACACGUAUGACUGUUAGUAGGAAGAUCGCGAUCAUACGAGUAGCCAUAUGGCGAACAAUAGUUCCGUACACGCUUGAAAUGGGACAAAAAACUUAAAUGAGCAUUACACAUCAUUAUGCAGUGUAGCUGCAAUAACCAAACGUAAUGCAGGGGUAAAGGCCGAACAAAUGUAAAACUUGAUCUCUAUUACUUACGAUGUUUCAUGAAGUUUUUUAAAUUGGCAGCGGUAGUUGUUUUAUUACUAUUGUAAAUUCCCCAAUCAUUUUGAAAAUGCUUUACAACUCAAGGCAACAAAGUGAAGUAGUAACAAGGCCAUUAAUGCAAAUACAUUGAAAUUUUAUUCUAGCUCAUGAAACAUCCCACAAAUUUGUUAGCCCUAGAGAUGUUAAAUUCUCUAUUUAAGAUAGAGAAGAAGGUGGUGCCACGGAAUUUACAAUUAUACAAUGAUUAAAUAGUCGGUCAGCCCUGGCUUGAAUGACAGUUCUGUUCCCGGUGUGUUCAUAAGUAAAUGUGUUGUUCACGAAAACAUUAUGGCACCAUCUUCCCAACGCCACAAGGGCCCGACAACUAAAGUCAUCAAUUUUCUUCCCUUUGAAAAUAUAGUUGUAGACGUCGAAUGCAUACUUUAUGCUGAAAUGUUUUUUGCACUCAACCACAGCCGGCGAGUCAUCUAGAUGCGCCAUCGUUGGAAGUGCACAACUCACCAAAAGCAAAAUAACCACAAUUGGACACAUGUUUAGUCCGGCCAUAUUGGUGGAAAGAAUUAUUAGCUGUUGAUUUUCUUAGAAAAUGAUCGCUUAGAUGCAGUUGAACUUUGACGAAAGGUGUUCUACACUUAUAAGGGAUGAGGCAAAGUUGCGAGUUAUUUGUAAAAUGAAAAACGCAUUUUCAUUUAAAACUACUUUAGCAACGUAUUUACUGAUGUGAGUUAUCAACUACGAGGGUUUCUAAUUUGGUAUUUAUUUUGGUACGAUAAACGCAAAUUACAAGUUCCCAUAAAUUGUUUAAUUAAUCACAAAAAUCACAUAACUAUUUAUUAUUUCGCACAAAAAUUACUUGUUUGUAAAUUCGUACACUAACUAGUUUAUUACAAUAGAGUUGUGAAAUCGUGAACUGAACUUGCAUGUCGUGUUAGUGACCAUCGUUACGUGAAAAAGAGACGGCAAGUAGGAAAAAGAAUGCGACUAGCCUUAAUUGUUCUGCAGUAAAUGGACAAAUGUAUUUCUCUGCAUUAUUAUUCCUACUUUAUCAAAAAGAAAAUGGGACAAAAGAGAUUAAAUUUGUUAAGAAGUGAAGAACUGUUGAAGUACAAUAGAUUAAUUAAAUGAGCACUCCUUUCUUAGUAAACUCAUUUUAGCACAAAUAUUAUAUCACACUCUAUUGCUCAUGGUACAGUACUCAUGCCCUACACGCCCGAAUAUAAUGUUAACGAGCUACUGUUGCAUAAAUGAUAAGUUUCAAAUCAUUGAACAAAUAUCCUCGUUUUGGUUAUUCAGACCAAAGACAAAACGAUUUAAAAAAUGAUACAGAGGUGUGCAUAACGAACAUACUUUUACAAAGUGUAACAUGUGCGUAACAACUUGAACCAAAAGGCCAAUAGGAGUCGAUGAAGAGUCUUUCUUACGCCUAGUUGAAUAUCAUUUUGUAAGAAUUUUUUGCAAUAUGCCGUGCCGAAAGUUUUCUCUUUCUCAACUUGGACCUGGAAACGAUGAAGAAGAACAAGCGUAUGACUGUUACCAGGAAGAUCGCAAUCAUACGAGUAGCCAUAUGGCGAACAAUAGUUCCGUACAUGCUUCAAAUGGGACAAAAAACUUAAAUGAGCAUUACACAUCAUUAUGCAGUUUAGCUGCAAUAACCAAACGUAAUGCAGGGGUAAAGGCCGAACAAAUGUCAAACUGAUCUCUAUUACUUACGAUGUUUCAUGAAGUUUUUAAAUUAGCGGGGUAGUUGUUUUAUUAAUAUUGUAAAUUCCCCAAUCAUUUUGAAAAUGCUUUACAACUCAAGGAAACAAAGUGAAGUAGUAACAAGGCAUUAAUGCAAAUACAUUGAAAUUUUAUUCUAGCUCAUGAAACAUCCCACAAAUUUGUUAGCCCUAGAGAUGUUAAAUUCUCUAUUUAAGAUAGAGAAGAAAGUGGUACCAUGGAAUUUACAAUUAUACAAUGAUUAAAUAGUCGGUCAGCCCUGGCUUGAAUGACAGUUCUGUUCCCGGUGUGUUCAUAAGUAAAUGUGUUGUUCACGAAAACAUUAUGGCACCCUUUUCCCAAGGCCACAAGGGCCCGACAACUAAAGUCAUCAAUUUUCUUCCCUUUGAAAAUAUAGUUGUAGACGUCGAAUGCAUACUUUAUGCUGAAAUGUUUUUUGCACUCAACCACGGCCGGCGAGUCAUCUAGAUGCGCCAUCGUUGAAAGUGCACAAAUCACCAAAAGUAAAAUAACCGCAAUUGGACACAUGUUUAGUCCGGCCAUAUUGGUGGAAAGAAUUAGUAGCUUUUGAUUUUCUUAGAAAAUGAUCGCUUAGAUGGAGUUAAACUUUGACGAAAUGGUGUUCUACACUUAUAAGGGAUGAGGCAAAGCUGCGAGUUAUUUGUAAAAUGAAAAACGCAUUUUCUUUUAAAACUACUUUAGCAACGUAUUUAAUGAUGUGAGGUAUCAAAUACGAGGGUUUCUAAUUUGGUAUUUAUUUUGGUACGAUAAACGCAACUUACAAGUUCCCAUAAAUUGUUUAAUUAAUCUCAACAAUCACAUAACUAUUUAUUAUUUCGCACAAAAAUUACUUGUUUGUAAAUUCGUACACUAACUAGUUUAUUACAAUAGAAUUGCAGAAAUCGUGAACUGAACUUGCAUGUCGUGUUAGUGACCAUCGUUACGUGAAAAAGAGACGGCAAGUAGGAAAAAGAAUGCGACUAGCCUUAAUUGUUCUGCAGUAAAUGGACAAAUGUAUUUCUCUGCAUUAUUAUUCCUACUUUAUCAAAACGAAAAUGGGACAAAAGAGAUUAAAUUUGUUAAGAAGUGAAGAACUGUUGAAGUACAAUAGAUUCAGUAAAUGAGCACUCAUUUCUUGGUAAACUCAUUUUUGCACAAAUAUUAUAUCACACUCUAUUGCGCAUGGUACAGUACUCAUGCCCUACACGCUCGAAUAUAAUGUUAACGAGCUACUGUUGCAUAAUGAUAAGUUUCAAAUCAUUCAACAAAUAUCCUAGUUUUGGUUAUUCAGACCAAAGACAAAAGGAUUUAAAAGACAGAUACAGAGGUGUGCAUAACGAACAAACUUUUUCAAAGUGUAGCAUGUGCGUAACAACUUGAACCAAAAGGCCAAUAGGAGUCAAUCAAGAGUCUUUCAUACGCCUACUUGAACGUCAUUUUGUAAGAAUUUUUUGCAAUACGCCGUGCCAAAGUUUUCAUCUUUCUCAACUUGGACCCGGAAACGAUGAAGAACACACGUAUGACUGUUACUAGGAAGAUCGCGAUCAUACGAGUAGCCAUAUGGCGAACAAUAGUUCCGUACACGCUUGAAAUGGGACAAAAAACUUAAAUGAGCAUUACACAUCAUUAUGCAGUGUAGUUGCAAUAACCAAACGUAAUGCAGGGGUAAAGGCCGAACAAAUGUAAAACUGAUCUCUAUUACUUACGAUGUUUCAUGAAGUUUUUAAAUUAGCGGGGUAGUUGUUUUAUUAAUAUUGUUAAUUCCCCAAUCAUUUUGAAAAUGUUUACAACUCAAAGGCAACAAAGUGAAGUAGUAACAAGGCAUUAAUGCAAAUACGUUGAAAUUUUAUUCUAGCUCAUGAAACAUCCCACAAAUUUGUUAGCCCUAGAGAUGUUAAAUUCUCUAUUUAAAAUAGAGAAGAAGGUGGUGCCAUGGAAUUUACAAUUAUACAAUGAUUAAAUAGUCGGUCAGCCCUGGCUUGAAUGACAGUUCUGUUUCCCAGUGUGUUCAUAAGUAAAUGUGUUGUUCACGAAAACAUUAUGGCACCAUCUUCCCAACGCCACAAGGGCCCGACAACUAAAGUCAUCAAUUUUCUUCCCUUUGAAAAUAUAGUUGUAGACGUCGAAUGCAUACUUUAUGCUGAAAUGUUUUUUUGCACUCAACCACGGUCGGCGAGUCAUCUAGAUGCGCCAUCGUUGGAAGUGCGCAACUCACCAAAAGCAAAAUAAACACAAUUGGACACAUGUUUAGUCCGGCCAUAUUGGUGGAAAGAAUUAGUAGCUUUUGAUUUUCUUAGAAAAUGAUCGCUUAGAUGCAGUUGAACUUUGACGAAAGGUGUUCUACACUUAUAAGGGAUGAGGCAAAGCUGCGAGUUAUUUGUAAAAUGAAAAACGCAUUUUCAUUUAAAACUACUUUAGCAACGUAUUUACUGAUGUAAGGUAUCAAAGACGAGGGUUUCUAAUUUGGUAUUUAUUUUGGUACGAUAAACGCAACUUACAAGUUCCCAUAAAUUGUUUAAUUAAUCUCAACAAUCACAUAACUAUUUAUUAUUUCUCACAAAAAUUACUUGUUUGUAAAUUCGUACACUAACUAGUUUAUUACAAUAGAAUUGCAGAAAUCGUGAACUGAACUUGCAUGUCGUGUUAGUGACCAUCGUUACAUGAAAAAGAGACGGUAAGUAGGAAAAAGAAUGCGACUAGCCUAAAUUGUUCUGCAGUAAAUGGACAAAUGUAUUUCUCUGCAUUAUUAUUCCUACUUUAUCAAAACGAAAAUGGGACAAAAGAGAUUAAAUUUGUUAAGAAGUGAAGAACUGUUGAAGGUAUAGACAUCGAAAUUUUGGUAAAUAAAUGUUGACGGAUAAAUCAAAGUUUCAACGUUCAUGUAUUACAUAAAUUUUACACGUAGCGUGUGACUCGAUGAAAAAUUGAAAUGAGUCGGAAAAGUCAUCAAACAGGACACAUGUCAACACCUGACAGAAAUGACUUAUUUCAUCUGGAAUAUUUUAUUCAAAAUUAGGCCUUGGAAAAUUCUAUAAAUAGAAGUCAAUU
rnacentral:lncRNA from 1 species